UACGUAGGGUGCGAGCGUUUGUCCGGAAUUAUUGGGCGUAAAGAGCUUGUAGGCGGUCUGUCGCGUCUGCUGUGAAAAUCCGGGGCUCAACCCCGGACUUGCAGUGGGUACGGGCAGACUAGAGUGUGGUAGGGGAGACUGGAAGUUCCUGGUGUAGCGGUGAAAUGCGCAGAUAGUCGGGAAGAACACCCGUGGCGAAGGCGGUUCUCUGGGACGGUACUGGACGCUGAGACGCGAAAGCGUGGGGAGCGAACAGG
rnacentral:rRNA from 1 species